GACGAACGCUGGCGGCGUGCUUAACACAUGCAAGUCGAGCGGUAAGGCCCUUUCGGGGGUACACGAGCGGCGAACGGGUGAGUAACACGUGGGUGACCUGCCCUCAGCUCUGGGAUAAGCCUGGGAAGCCGGGUCUAAUACUGGAUAUGACUCCAUGACGCAUGUUGUGGGGUGGAAAGCCUUGUGCGGCUGAGGAUGGGCCCGCGGCCUAUCAGCUUGUUGGUGGGGUGAUGGCCUACCAAGGCGACGACGGGUAGCCGGCCUGAGAGGGCGACCGGCCACACUGGGACUGAGACACGGCCCAGACUCCUACGGGAGGCAGCAGUGGGGAAUCUUGCGCAAUGGGCGAAAGCCUGACGCAGCGACGCCGCGUGAGGGAUGACGGCCUCGGUUGUAAC
rnacentral:rRNA from 1 species